rnacentral:rRNA from 1 species
CUAGCGGCGAACGGGUGAGUAACACGUGGGCAACCUGCCCUCAGCUCUGGGAUAACUCCAAGAAAUUGGUGCUAAUACCGGAUGUGACCGCUGACCGCAUGGUCUGGUGGUGGAAAGAUUCAUCGGCUGAGGAUGGGCCCGCGGCCUAUCAGCUUGUUGGUGGGGUGAUGGCCCACCAAGGCGACGACGGGUAGCCGGCCUGAGAGGGUGACCGGCCACACUGGGACUGAGACACGGCCCAGACUCCUACGGGAGGCAGCAGUGGGGAAUAUUGCGCAAUGGGCGAAAGCCUGACGCAGCGACGCCGCGUGAGGGAUGACGGCCUUCGGGUUGUAAACCUCUUUCAGCAGGGACGAAGCGAAAGUGACGGUACCUGCAGAAGAAGCACCGGCCAACUACGUGCCAGCAGCCGCGGUAAUACGUAGGGUGCAAGCGUUGUCCGGAAUUAUUGGGCGUAAAGAGCUCGUAGGCGGUCUGUCACGUCGGCUGUGAAAACCCGAGGCUCAACCUCGGGCCUGCAGUCGAUACGGGCAAACUAGAGUGUUGCAGGGGAGACUGGAAUUCCUGGUGUAGCGGUGAAAUGCGCAGAUAUCAGGAGGAACACCGGUGGCGAAGGCGGGUCUCUGGGCAACAACUGACG